UUUCUCUUUGCUCAAAAAAAGCUUGUAUUAUUUAAUUGUCCAAGAUUAGAGCGUUUACCAUCUGAGGUACGCAACCUCACAUGCUUGAAGGAACUGAGAAUCAUUAAUUGUCCCAAUCUAGAAGAGAGUUGCCUAACAGAUGUGCACGUUCCGGUCUUUAUUCCGGAGGGGAUAUGAAUCGGAACGAUCAGCAUAGUAGAGUGUAUAUUGGCAGUGCAAAUAUUUAUCAAAAAGAAGAAAGCGUCCCUCCCUCUCCAGUCAUCACCACCUUCCUCGUUCUGUCGCACGUCUAGAACAAAGACCACAUUUGCCUCCUCGUCUUGCCGGUACAACCUCCUCACUCAACUUUUCACUGUGAAUGUAUAUUUUUGUUGGAGAUGAGUUUGGAUUAUGGAUCGAUGUUAUGGAGACAUUUGGAUUAUGAUUUGAGUGUUAUGGAGACAUUACAAUGUCAAUGCAUGAUAUGUGCAUCUUCUUUAUA